rnacentral:rRNA from 1 species
UACGUAGGGUGCAAGCGUUGUCCGGAAUUACUGGGCGUAAAGCGUGCGUAGUCGGUUAUUUAAGUCGGGUGUGAAAGCCCCGGGCUCAACCUGGGAAUUGCAUUCGAUACUGGAUAGCUAGAGUUCGGCAGAGGGAAGCGGAAUUUCCGGUGUAGCGGUGAAAUGCGUAGAGAUCCGGAGGAACACCCGUGGCUAAGGCGGCUCUCUAGUACGGUACUGACGCUGAGACGCGAAAGCGUGGGGAGCGAACAGG